UACGUAGGGUGCAAGCGUUGUCCGGAAUUAUUGGGCGUAAAGAGCUCGUAGGCGGCUUGUCGCGUCGGCUGUGAAAACCUGGGGCUCAACCCCGGGCCUGCAGCCGAUACGGGCAGACUAGAGUUCGGUAGGGGAGACUGGAAUUCCUGGUGUAGCGGUGAAAUGCGCAGAUAUCAGGAGGAACACCGGUGGCGAAGGCGGGUCUCUGGGCCGAUAUGACGCUGAGGAGCGAAAGCUGGGGAGCGAACAGG
rnacentral:rRNA from 1 species